GGGUCAAGUGAUCCAGUUCUAAGACUCAUCUUUUCUAUUAUGAAGAUGGCAAAAUCCUGAGGGCAUCCAUGUUGUUGCAAGUGACAGGAUUUCAUUGUUUUUAAAGGCUAAUUUUCCAUUGUUUAUAUAUCACCACAUGUUGGUCCAUCCUUUCAUGGACAUUUGAUUGAUUCAGCUACUGUGGAAAGUACUGCAAUAAAAUGGGACACAGGUAUGAU